rnacentral:rRNA from 1 species
GACGAACGCUGGCGGCGUGCUUAACACGUGCAAGUCGAACGGAAAGGCCCUGCUUUUGUGGGGUGCUCGAGUGGCGAACGGGUGAGUAACACGUGAGUAACCUGCCCUUGACUUUGGGAUAACUUCAGGAAACUGGGGCUAAUACCGGAUAGGAGCUCCUGCUGCAUGGUGGGGGUUGGAAAGUUUCGGCGGUAGGGGAUGGACUCGCGGCUUAUCAGCUUGUUGGUGGGGUAGUGGCUUACCAAGGCUUUGACGGGUAGCCGGCCUGAGAGGGUGACCGGCCACAUUGGGACUGAGAUACGGCCCAGACUCCUACGGGAGGCAGCAGUGGGGAAUAUUGCACAAUGGGCGGAAGCCUGAUGCAGCAACGCCGCGUGCGGGAUGACGGCCUUCGGGUUGUAAACCGCUUUCGCCUGUGACGAAGCGUGAGUGACGGUAAUGGGUAAAGAAGCACCGGCUAACUACGUG